UUUGCCUACGGGACGCAGCAGUGGGGGAUAUUGCACAAUGGGGGCAACCCUGAUGCAGCGACGCCGCGUGAGCGAUGGAGUACUCCGGUAUGUAAAGCUCUGUCAGCAGGGAAGAGAAUGACGGUACCUGACCAAGAAGCCCCGGCUAAAUACGUGCCAGCAGCCGCGGUAAUACGUAUGGGGCAAGCGUUAUCCGGAUUUACUGGGUGUAAAGGGAGCGUAGGCGGCGGGGCAAGCCUGAUGUGAAAGCCCGGGGUUCAACCCCGGGACUGCAUUGGGAACUGCCCUGCUGGAGUGCCGGAGGG
rnacentral:rRNA from 1 species